CCCUGCCAUUUGUACACACCGCCCGUCGCUCCUACCGAUUGAAUGAUCCGGUGAAUUCUUCGGACUGUGGCUCUAGUGCUGGCGACAGCACUGUUGCUGUGGGAAGUUGAUUAAACCUUAUCAUUUAG
rnacentral:rRNA from 1 species